UCCACUGCAGUGGCUUCUCCAGACUCAGCGCAUUGAGAACCUCCCUGGAACACACGAGGACACCGCAGUUCCCAAAGCGCUGUCUGGCCCCCGGGAGGGAAGAGGGGAAGUGGGGGGCACAGGACCCGCAAACAUUGUGGAAGGAGGAAAAUCUCUUAGAGUCUCAGUUGCAGACUGGGUGUCCUCCUGCCCAGCCUCACACUGGGCCACCGAGCAGACUGGGGAUGAAGCCGCCCAGCAUUGCCCCGCCGCCUGGAGACACGGCGCUCUUGCUGCGCACCUGGCUUCUCAGAGUCCACGUCAUCUCAUCAAGGACUGAAAAGCCUUGUUCACCACCUUUUAAGAGAACAGACUCCAGAGAUUCCAGAACAAUGAAGCCAUUCCCGGCGGGAUGACGGUGCGCGUGAGUGACAGCGGGAUGACGUUGGCUCCCUGCAAAAGGCAGUGAAAGUGGGACCUCCUUAGACAACACCUGGUCCUGAGCAAAUGCUACCAUUUCGGUGUAACAGAACAUGUUUUCAGGAUGAAAAGAGGACGGAAGU